AAAUGGGUUUAGAUUUAUGGCAGGUCCAUUUAUCUGGGCCUCUCAGAGUGUCCCAUGCCAGAGCAAGCUGUGACCCUAAAUCAUUGCCUGACCCUUGGCAGUGCACUGCAGGUAAUGAAGUGGGUUGCACAGUG